rnacentral:rRNA from 1 species
GGCCUACCAUGGUGGUAACGGGUAACGGGGUGUUAGGGCACGACACCGGAGAGGGAGCCUGAGAAACGGCUACCACAUCCAAGGAUGGCAGCAGGCGCGCAAAUUACCCAAUCCCGACAUGGGGAGGUAGUGACAAUAAAUAACAAUACAGGGUUCUUUUGGAUCUUGUAAUUGGAAUGAGUACAAUUUAAAUCUCUUAACGAGGAACAAUUGGAGGGCAAGUCUGGUGCCAGCAGCCGCGGUAAUUCCAGCUCCAAUAGCGUAUAUUAAAGUUGCUGCAGUUAAAAAGCUCGUAGUUGAAUUUCGGGAUCAAUAUGUUGGUCGUGCCUUGGUACGUACUAGCUUAUUGAUUUCUCCUUUCUGACGAACCAUGAUGUCAUUAAUUUGGUGGCAUGGGGAAUCAGGACUGUUACUUUGAAAAAAUUAGAGUGUUUAAAGCAGGCUCGCGCUUGAAUACAUUAGCAUGGAAUAAUGAAAUAGGACAUUUGAUUCUAUUUUGUUGGUUUCUAGGAUCGAUGUAAUGAUUAAUAGGGAUAGUUGGGGGCAUUAGUAUUCAAUUGUCAGAGGUGAAAUUCUUGGAUUUAUUGAAGACUAACUACUGCGAAAGCAUUUGCCAAGGAUGUUUUCAUUAAUCAAGAACGAAAGUUAGGGGAUCGAAGACGAUCAGAUACCGUCGUAGUCUUAACCAUAAACUAUGCCGACUAGGGAUCGGAUGAUGUUAAUUUUUUAAUGACUCAUUCGGCGCCUUACG